AGACGGAAAGAUGCUGGUUCGAAUUAAUUUUCUGAUCGAGAUAGCAUUAUAGUAUAAUCUGUAAUUUGGUGUAGAAAUAUUGCAUCGAUACAAUUCAAUCAUUUCACCUUUCUCACCGAGAAACAAAUUGGACCUCGUACCUCGAAGUGAAAAAAAGAAAAUGGAAUUCGUUUCGUCUAAUCUCGAUGCCGCAGAUAACGCCAGCCGAAGUCCAAAAAAUAUAAAUCAAAUGGAAAUCUUUUAUAGCGAUUUGUGUGAAGAUUUCAGAUGUUAAUUCGUCAUUCGACAGUCAAUACCAUUCCCGGCCAUGUCACUACCGUUCUACUGACGGAGGUUCACCUCAUCCUGGUCCUUUUUUUUCCAGUCUAUGCCAUCAGUAGUCGGUGUCACCACUCCAGCAGCCUAGAGAAUAGCCAUUCAACUCCUCAUGAUUGUUCUUUUUCUCUGUGGUUCAUCGCACUCACACCGUAAUCGUUCUCGUCUCCAUUAUGAUGUUUCACGUCGUAAUUAGUCAUUGACGUCAGGCAGCACAGACCGUGGCCGUGCUGAUCAAGCUUCUGCCGUAAGUGAUCGAUCCCCUCAACCAUGUCAUUGUCAUCGUUCACGUCGCGAUCAGCCCUUCACGUCAAGCAGCAAAGAUGAAAGCCGUGGGCUUCCUGUCCAAGUUUCUGUUGUUAAAGGUUUUCAUUUCAUGCAUAUAGUGUUAUUUACUAUGCUAGUGUUUAUUAUACAACUUCAGGUGGUAAU